rnacentral:rRNA from 1 species
UACGGGGGGGGCAAGCGUUGUUCGGAAUUACUGGGCGUAAAGGGCUCGUAGGCGGCCAACUAAGUCAGACGUGAAAUCCCUCAGCUUAACUGGGGAACUGCGUCUGAUACUGGUUGGCUUGAGUGCAGGAGAGGAACGCGGAAUUCCAGGUGUAGCGGUGAAAUGCGUAGAUAUCUGGAGGAACACCGGUGGCGAAGGCGGCGUUCUGGACUGCAACUGACACUGAGGAACGAAAGCCAGGGUAGCAAACGGG